rnacentral:rRNA from 1 species
CCUACGGGGCGCAGCAGUGGGGAAUAUUGCACAAUGGGGGGAACCCUGAUGCAGCGACGCCGCGUGAGCGAGGAAGUAUUUCGGUAUGUAAAGCUCUAUCAGCAGGGACGAAAAAAGACGGUACCUGACUAAGAAGCCCCGGCUAACUACGUGCCAGCAGCCGCGGUAAUACGUAGGGGGCAAGCGUUAUCCGGAUUUACUGGGUGUAAAGGGAGCGUAGACGGCAGCGCAAGUCUGAAGUGAAAUGCCGGGGCUUAACCCCGGAACUGCUUUGGAAACUGUGAAGCUAGAGUGCAG